GACGAACGCUGGCGGCGUGCUUAACACAUGCAAGUCGAACGGAAAGGCCCCCUUGUGGGGUACUCGAGUGGCGAACGGGUGAGUAACACGUGAGUAACCUACCCUUGACUUUGGGAUAACUUCAGGAAACUGGGGCUAAUACCGGAUAGGAGCUCCUGCUGCAUGGUGGGGGGUGGAAAGUUUCGGCGGUUGGGGAUGGACUCGCGGCUUAUCAGCUUGUUGGUGGGGUAGUGGCUCACCAAGGCUUUGACGGGUAGCCGGCCUGAGAGGGUGACCGGCCACAUUGGGACUGAGAUACGGCCCAGACUCCUACGGGAGGCAGCAGUGGGGAAUAUUGCACAAUGGGCGGAAGCCUGAUGCAGCAACGCCGCGUGCGGGAUGACGGCCUUCGGGUUGUAAACCGCUUUCGCCUGUGACGAAGCGUGAGUGACAGUAAUGGGUAAAGAAGCACCGGCUAACUACGUG
rnacentral:rRNA from 1 species